UACCAGCUCUCCGAGUGGUGUGGAUGUUUAUUGGGCCUAAAGCAUCCGUAGCUGGCUGGGCAAGUCCCCUGUUAAAUCCACCGAUUUAAUCGUUGGAGUGCGGGGGAUACUGCUCGGCUAGGGGGCGGGAGAGGCAGACGGUAUUUUCGGGGUAGGGGUGAAAUCCUAUAAUCCCGAGAAGACCACCAGUGGCGAAGGCUGUCUGCUAGAACGUGCCCGACGGUGAGGGAUGAAAGCUGGGGGAGCGAACCGGAUUAGAUACCCGGGUAGUCCCAGCUGUAAACGAUGCAGGCUAGGUGUUUGGACGGCCACGUGCCGUUCUAGUGCCGCAGGGAAGCCGUUAAGCCUGCCGCCUGGGGAGUACGGCCGCAAGGCUGAAACUUAAAGGAAUUGGCGGGGGAGCACCACAAGGGGUGAAGCUUGCGGUUU
rnacentral:rRNA from 1 species